rnacentral:lncRNA from 1 species
AGCCAUGAUCAAUUUGAAUGGAAAAAGAAAAAAAUAUUUUUUUCACAAUAUGUGCAAUGGCAUGGAAAGUAGAGCACACAACACAAGAAUUCCUCUCAAUCAUAGCUAAAUUUUUCACAAUCUAUAGAUCCCUCGUGUACAAAUAUUGCAAGUGUAGCCACUAGUCCCUGACGGUGACAACUCGGCAGCAGACAUGUCUCAUAGUACAAGCAAUAAUAUUGCUAUACUAUGCAAGUAGAAUUUUAUAUGGAACUAAACUUUAUGGUAAU